rnacentral:lncRNA from 1 species
AUUCUAACCAUGCUGGCAGCUGAUUAGAUGGUGCCCACUCAGAUUAAAGGUAUUGGGAGAAGGAGAGGCUGUCAACCCAUGCCACUAUGCUAUCUCUAAUUCUGCCAUCCAGACCGAGCAAACGUACUUAAGACCUUUGUGUAAGAUCAGAAAAUCAUAAGACAGCAUUAAAAAGUACUAUACAGGAGGAGAUGGAACAAGAUGGCCAAAUAGAAGCCUCCAGCAAUCAUCUCCCCGAAAGGAAUUGAACAACUAUCAAAACAAAAUUGAACAACUAUCUAAACAAAAAAGUACCUUCAUAAAAAACAAAAAUCAGGACACAGUGUUCUGCCUCUCCUGAGUAAGCAGCAACAACGCACCAUCUUGGAAUCAGGGGACGGCCCUCACCAGACAACUAAAUCUGCAGACACCUUGGACUUCCCAGCCUCCAGAACUGUCUUUCUGGCAACUGUCUAAACAUAAACCAGAGAAGGGCAAGGCAGACUCAGGAAGGACAAAUAGAAGGCUAUUUUCAUAAAUCGGGCAUACAAUGGUGGACAAAACAGCUGCCUUUCUUCCCCGUAUGGAGCUUACAGUAUAGUGAAUAUUUCAUGGGACUAGUAUCUACAGAAGGUGUUUUGGGAAGCACAGCUUUGGAGAGAGUAAUUUGCCAACAUUGCACAGAAUAAAGGCACCAUGAGGGCCCAAGGAAGGAAAAGAUUUGCAGCUGUCUUG